UACGGAGGAUCCGAGCGUUAUCCGGAUUUAUUGGGUUUAAAGGGUGCGCAGGCGGGAGAUUAAGUCGGCGGUGAAAUUUUGCAGCUCAACUGUAAAAGUGCCUUCGAAACUGGUUUCCUUGAGUGUAGAUGAAGUAGGCGGAAUUUGUGGUGUAGCGGUGAAAUGCAUAGAUAUCACGAGGAACUCCGAUUGCGCAGGCAGCUUACUAAACUACUACUGACGCUCAGGCACGAAGGCGUGGGGAUCAAACAGGAUUAGAUACCCUUGUAGU
rnacentral:rRNA from 1 species